UCAGGGAUACACUUUCCAGCACAUUUAGGACUUGGAACAGCCCCAGGUUUCAGGAACACAUGGUGAUGGGGGAGGGAGUGGGGCUCAAAUAGACUAGGAAGGGGGAAGCAAGCUCCUUCUUUCUUUCUUCAAGAUGAAUCUCCAUUUUCAUCAUCUGAUAGCAGGAACAGCAUGUGAGGACRGCGGAUGAAUUGCAAACCUGUGCAGUUACAGCCUCCACCCAGCCCCCCAAGCCAGCCAGGGACRCUCCAGUGUACCCCGGAAGUCGACCCCUGGAACAUGGUCCAGGUGCUGGUUUUAGUUAGAGCAGAAUAUGGUCCCUGAACCCUGAGACCCCCCACGUUGAUGGUGAAUCCAAAGGAAUGGGUAAGUCUUUAAUGCCCGUGUGACAGGAGCUGAUGCAGGACAAAACCUGACUUGAGCACUCUCAGUGACUCUGAGGGACCUGUGACAGGGACACGUGGCUACAGGCAGCCUUCCCCUCUGUCAGCAUCUACCUGGGCAACCUGGAGCAGGCUUCUCUGUGCGCCACAGCCCACCCGUGGGGAUGACAGCGGAUGUUCACCUGCCUGCCAGGGUGGCUGCAAGAUGCAAGGAGCCAGGAUCAGAACAGGAAGGCUGAUGUGCUGCUGGAGCUGGCUGCCCCUUCCGGUCCUGCCUGCCAGGGGCAGUGCUGCACAGAGCUGGCUUCUGUGUGGGGCUCGGAGCAGCUCCCGGCUCCCACCCAAAGCCCCUUUCUCCUGUGCUCUUGCAGAGCUUGCUCACAGGCUCCCAUUCAGAGGCUGACUGAUUGAAGAGGCGGCUGUGGGUCGGCAGUGUGACCUUUGGGCCCGCCUUGGUGGGUACCAAUGUCCUCCUCAGAUCUGAUUUUGGCCUUUCCAAGAAGUGUGGACAACAGGAUAAAGAAGGGGAGGUCCUGAGCCAGGUCAGAAGGUGAGAGCGGGGAGGGAGCACAUCCCAGGCUGCUCCGAGGGCAGUCACCUCCCCUGUCUUGCUCUCCAGAGCCUCUGAGGCAGCUACCUGCAAACCCUGUGCCACCAUGCCAGAUGGAGAAACUGAGGACCAGAGAAGUCACUAACUUGUCUAAGACCACACAGCUCCUUUGAAGCAGGAGAGAGAAACAUGAGGCCCGAGAUAUCACUCUGUGCCCUGCACAACUGCCCAGGACGGAGGAGCUAGAGCAGGGAAAGGCUGGUGAGGUGGCCGUCACAGGCCACUCCAUAACAUGCCACUGAGCCCAGAACAUGGAGUCUGCCGCCUGGAGCAAGAGAAGAGCUCGGUGGGAGUCGGCCUGCAGAGCUUCAGGAAAACCCCCGGAGAACCAGCUGCAGAUCUUCUUUCCCUCCACUCCACCCUCGUGGAGACUUUUCCUCCAGGCCAGCCUGUUCUGCUGGAAAAACAAUCUCCCCUGCCUGAGGACCCGGGCGGCUGGGCUACCUUCUGGUCUGUCUUCAUUCAGAUCCAUUUCUCCCCUCCCUGGAGCCGGGGGAGGGAGUCAUGCUGGGGGAGGCACGGGUGGGGCUGAAGACUUCAUCUGUCCCCCUUUAAGCCAAGCAAAGAAAAAUAGCCUUUUGCCAAGAUCUUUCAUCUCAGUCAUUUACUCUCGCAGAUGUUUUCUGCAAUAUAAACAAGAAGCAAGGAAUGUCGGGGAGGAAAGGAGGACGGGAGGCGGGCAGGAGGGAAGGAGAAGAAUCAACAGCUUUGAAACCUGGGCCUGCAGAGGGCAGGAAACAGGACCUCAGCAGGGGCCCUGCUGCCCUGAGAGCAUGGGCAAACCCGAGGUCAUUGCCCCAGGCCAAGCAGAGGGCGGCUACUGGGGGUGUCUUUGAAAGAAGGCUCUGGAGAAGUGGGCCAGUGAGUGGUCACCCCAAACAGGCUCCCCCUGCCUGGGAACCUGCCCAUGGGGAGACACUGCUGGGGUGUUACCUGGAGUGGCACCUGGCUGGGGCACACCCUUGCCCACCUUAGCACACCCUGAAGGCUGUUCUGGACUUCAGAACUCUGUCCACUGCCCAGAUCUGCCAGCAAGACCAGUGGGAGGUGCGGCACCCACAGUGGCAAUAAGGAUUUGGUCAUAGAGGGAGGAGGAAGAAUCCUGAGCUGGGGGUGGAGGGCAGGAGCAGCAGAUCACACAGUGGGUCAAGAGCUAACCAGGAAGGCAAAUGGCUCCCAGCUCCACAUUUUGUGGGAUUCCUACUGGUGUCAACAGCUAAUAAGCCUGGGGUUGCAAACUCAAAUGCCUCUGGGGACUGACCAGGAGCCCAAAGGAGUGUCCCUGAAUGGGGACAGUAUGAAGAAGAAAAGGCAGACCCAUCUAGAAGGGUGGCCACCACUCAGCUUCGCACUACGAAAGAUUCAAGAGAGCCCA